rnacentral:rRNA from 1 species
CUUGGUCAUUAUAGCGGAGGGGGUACACCUGUUCUCAUUCCGAAUACAGAAGUUAAGUCCUUUAGCGCCUAUGGUACUGCCGGGUUACCCUGGUGGGAGAGUUGGUCGUGGCCAAGU